GACGAACGCUGGCGGCGUGCCUAAUACAUGCAAGUCGAGCGCACAGUUUAUACCGUAGCUUGCUACACCAUAGACUGUGAGUUGCGAACGGGUGAGUAACGCGUAGGUAACCUGCCUGGUAGCGGGGGAUAACUAUUGGAAACGAUAGCUAAUACCGCAUAAUAUUAAUUAUUGCAUGAUAAUUGAUUGAAAGAUGCAACUGCAUCACUACCAGAUGGACCUGCGUUGUAUUAGCUAGUAGGUGAGGUAACGGCUCACCUAGGCGACGAUACAUAGCCGACCUGAGAGGGUGAUCGGCCACACUGGGACUGAGACACGGCCCAGACUCCUACGGGAGGCAGCAGUAGGGAAUCUUCGGCAAUGGACGAAAGUCUGACCGAGCAACGCCGCGUGAGUGAAGAAGGUUUUCGGAUCGUAAAGCUCUGUUGUAAGAGAAGAACGGGUGUGAGAGUGGAAAGUUCACACUGUGACGGUAGCUUACCAGAAAGGGACGGCUAACUACGUG
rnacentral:rRNA from 1 species